rnacentral:rRNA from 1 species
UACGAAGGGUGCAAACGUUGCUCGGAAUUAUUGGGCGUAAAGCGCACGUAGGCGGCAUUGCAAGUCGGAUGUGAAAUCUUAUGGCUUAACCAUAAAAGUGCAUCCGAAGCUGCAGUGCUUGAGUACUUAAGAGGAUCGCGGAAUUCCCGGUGUAGAGGUGAAAUGCGUAGAUAUCGGGAGGAACACCCGUGGCGAAGGCGGCUUUCUGGACCACUACUGACGCUGAGGCACGAAAGCCGGGGGAGCAAACAGG